rnacentral:rRNA from 1 species
ACGGGUGAGUAACACGUGGGUAACCUGCCCUUGGCUUUGGGGUAAGCCCUGGAAACGGGGUCUAAUACCGGAUAUGACCUUCAGUCGCAUGGCUGUUGGUGGAAAGUUCCGGCGGCCAGGGAUGGGCCCGCGGCCUAUCAGCUUGUUGGUGGGGUGAUGGCCUACCAAGGCGACGACGGGUAGCCGGCCUGAGAGGGCGACCGGCCACACUGGGACUGAGACACGGCCCAGACUCCUACGGGAGGCAGCAGUGGGGAAUAUUGCACAAUGGGCGAAAGCCUGAUGCAGCGACGCCGCGUGAGGGAUGACGGCCUUCGGGUUGUAAACCUCUUUCGACAGGGACGAAGCGAGAGUGACGGUACCUGUAGAAGAAGCACCGGCUAACUACGUGCCAGCAGCCGCGGUAAUACGUAGGGUGCGAGCGUUGUCCGGAAUUAUUGGGCGUAAAGAGCUCGUAGGCGGUUUGUCGCGUCGACUGUGAAAACUGGGGGCUUAACUCUCAGCUUGCAGUCGAUACGGGCAGACUUGAGUUCGGUAGGGGAGACUGGAAUUCCUGGUGUAGCGGUGAAAUGCGCAGA